rnacentral:lncRNA from 1 species
UGAAAAGCAGGUGCUCUAUCUCUUGAACUAUACCUCUAGUCCAUUUUGCUCUGGUUGUUUCGGAGAUGCCUGGGCUGGCCUAGAACCACAAACCUCUUGAUCUCAGUUUCUCAAGUAGCUAGGAUUGCAGGAGUGAGCCUCUGACACCUGGCUGAUCCAUUCAUUGCUUUAUUAUGGUUUUCUUUCUAAACUCAUUCACCAGACCUGCUUGGGAAGUAUUUUUAUGACUAUUAACAAAAAAAUUUUCCUCCAAGGACGAUUAUUGUCAUCACUGAAGAUUGCCAAAGGAAUGCCGUCUACCCUCAAACUUCAGAAUGAGAAGACAUUACCUGGGAAUCUGUCCUGACAUACAUGGUGGAACUAAGGAACUGAGAAUCUGAAUUGAGAGGAAGAAUAGGACAUGUAUUCCUCUGAGAAACCCUGGACAGUAGAUUUUGGUUUAAUAGUGGAUUGGGACAACAUACAGAGACAUUUCCAGUCAUGAGUAAGUGUUCUGUUUUGUUUCAUUUCUGUUGUCUCAGGAGCAUUUGUAGUGUGGUACUUAAAAAAAAAAGUAUUACUAGAUAAAUUGGAAGUAUGUCACUUCUUCAGAGAAUAAUCUGGUUCCUCCC